rnacentral:snRNA from 1 species
AUUAUUUUUUCUUAAAAAAAAAAAAAAAAUCUGUUCUUAUCAGUUUAAUAUCUGAUACGUACUACAUAUUAAAUGGAUUUUUCAAACAGGGAGUCGGAAAUGGGGCUUGCUCCGUCCGCUCCACACAUCGACCCGGUAUUGCAGUACCUCCGGGAACGGUGCAACACUU